rnacentral:rRNA from 1 species
AGAUUGAACGCUGGCGGAAUGCUUUACACAUGCAAGUCGAGCGGCAGCGCGGGGGCAACCCUGGCGGCGAGCGGCGAACGGGUGAGUAAUACAUCGGAACGUGUCCUGGAGUGGGGGAUAGCUCGGCGAAAGCCGGAUUAAUACCGCAUAAGCUCUGAGGAGGAAAGCGGGGGAUUCGCAAGGACCUCGCGCUGUUGGAGCGGCCGAUGUCGGAUUAGCUAGUUGGUGGGGUAAAGGCCCACCAAGGCGACGAUCCGUAGCUGGUCUGAGAGGAUGAUCAGCCACACUGGAACUGAGACACGGUCCAGACCUCCUACGGGAGGCAGCGAGUGGGGAAUUUUGGACAAGUGGGGCAACCCGUGAUCCAGCCAUUCCGCGUGAGUAGAAGAGGUCUUCGGGUUGUAAGCUCGUACCGGACGGAACGAAGUCGUACGGUC